rnacentral:rRNA from 1 species
AAAUCAACCGAGAUUCCCCCAGUAGCGGCGAGCGAACGGGGAGCAGCCCAGAGUCUGAAUCAGCUUGUGUGUUAGUGGAACGGUCUGGAAAGUCCGACGGUACAGGGUGAUAGUCCCGUACACCAAAAUGCACAGGCUGUGAACUCGAAGAGUAGGGCGGGACACGUGGUAUCCUGUCUGAAUAUGGGGGGACCAUCCUCCAAGGCUAAAUACUCCUGACUGACCGAUAGUGAACCAGUACCGUGAGGGAAAGGCGAAAAGAACCCCGGCGAG